GAACGAGGAUGAAGUAACAUCUAAAAAAUUUACAACGUUCAUAUUUACUUCGGCGGUGAUUUUCAGGUCAAAUUGCUCGAAAAUUUUGUGUAGCCUAUAGAAAUUAGAAAAGAGCUACACAAAAUUUUCGAGCAAUUUGACCUGAAAAUCACCGCCGAAGUAAAUAUGAACGUUGUAAAUUUUUUAGAUGUUACUUUCGACCUGAUC